rnacentral:lncRNA from 1 species
UCCUCCGGCGACCCCUGGUAAGCUCUCCCCCCUCCCUCCUUUCUUUCUCUCUCUUUCUUCUCUCUUCCCCGACCGGCGCUUGCACUUUUAUGUGACGUACUUUUCUCUUGGUAGUGAUUUGGGGUUAUCUUUUAGGAAUUCUUACUGCAUUUUUUGUUAGUUUUUGCUUGUUUCCUUUACAUUUUCAGAAUGAAUUAGCUUUCUUUAUGCUUAACAAUAUAAAAGUUCUGAACUUUCAACUGGGUUUUUCAUGUAUAUUGAAUAAGAUCUGUAUAUUUGGAAUUUUUCUUUGUAAUAUUCACUGUAUUUUAGCUUAAUUUAGUUGUGUUUUUCUCGGAACAAAACUUUGACCCGUUUUCUCUCUGAUUUCAUCGACUCUCACACGCUAAAAAAAUGAAUUUUCGAAAUUCAAAAGGGAUUCUCAAAUCUGAAAAUUUCAAAUAAAGAAAAUAAGAAGUUGUGGUUGAAAAAUUGUUGUUGCUCGUUGUUCAGAUCUUCCGGUCUGCUGUACAGAGUUUCAGAUCUUUGUUUGGUGUGGUUUAGUUGAUUUUCCUUACAAAUAGGUCAAUCCUAGUCCAAGGUGCUUGAACCCUAGCUUCAUUUCCCUUACUACUGGCAGGGCUACACCAAUGGUAGCGGUGACAGCCCUUUUUGGUUUUUGGAUCAGGGUAUUUGCUGUGUUUUUCAGGAAAAUUAUUAAAGUUGUUGGAGACAGGUUAGCCCACGAGCACUAGCAAAGAAGAGCAACCCGGACGAGCAUCAACAAAGUGUGGUGGGUAGCGGUAAGUUAGCGUACAACUACAUCGAGUACAACAAUUAAACACAGGUUUGGUCCUCAGGACUUGGUACCUCCCGUUCUACUGUUUCCCCUCUGGUGCUAGCUAAAUUGUUGUUACUUUAGUUCGCAAUAGUUCGAUCAUUCAACUAGUGUACUUGUAGUUACGUGUUUCCUUCUAGUUUAACUCGUUGUCCGUGGAGCACUAGCGAGUAUUCUUUAGAUUUAUCGUAGAAGUAGUAGCUGCAGUCUGGAAUGAUAGAUUAAGGGCAUGUCCGCGGGUGGGGCUGAGUGUGGGACCAGUUUCAGGGAGUGGGACGGGAGGAAGGGGAGGUAUAUGGGGCAAAAGAGUCUAUAGGUUGAGAAUCAGUUCAUAGAAUAUAGCUUCGCUUACGAGUAAGUCUAUAGAGUUGGCGAAGAUCCUUCAGAAGAGGACGAUUAAUAUAGCAUGUGUCCAAGAGACUAAUGUUGGAAAUCAUUGAUAUCAUUGAUAUGUGUUCUUUGGUUGUAUUAGCAUGAUUU